rnacentral:rRNA from 1 species
GACGAACGCUGGCGGCGUGCCUAAUACAUGCAAGUAGAACGCUGAAGGAGGAGCUUGCUUCUCUGGAUGAGUUGCGAACGGGUGAGUAACGCGUAGGUAACCUGCCUGGUAGCGGGGGAUAACUAUUGGAAACGAUAGCUAAUACCGCAUAAUAGCAGUUAUUGCAUGAUAACUGUUUGAAAGGUGUAAUUGCACCACUACCAGAUGGACCUGCGUUGUAUUAGCUAGUUGGUGGGGUAACGGCUCACCAAGGCGACGAUACAUAGCCGACCUGAGAGGGUGAUCGGCCACACUGGGACUGAGACACGGCCCAGACUCCUACGGGAGGCAGCAGUAGGGAAUCUUCGGCAAUGGACGGAAGUCUGACCGAGCAACGCCGCGUGAGUGAAGAAGGUUUUCGGAUCGUAAAGCUCUGUUGUAAGAGAAGAACGAGUGUGAGAGUGGAAAGUUCACACUGUGACGGUAUCUUACCAGAAAGGGACGGCUAACUACGUG